rnacentral:rRNA from 1 species
GGUAGCGCCUCGUGAAUUCAUCUCCGGGGGUAGAGCACUGUUUCGGCUAGGGGGCCAUCCCGGCUUACCAACCCGAUGCAAACUGCGAAUACCGGAGAAUGUUAUCACGGGAGACACACGGCGGGUGCUAACGUCCGUCGUGAAGAGGGAAACAACCCAGACCGCCAGCUAAGGUCCCAAAGUCAUGGUUAAGUGGGAAACGAUGUGGGAAGGCCCAGACAGCCAGGAUGUUGGCUUAGAAGCAGCCAUCAUUUAAAGAAAGCGUAAUAGCUCACUGGUCGAGUCGGCCUGCGCGGAAGAUGUAACGGGGCUAAACCAUGCACCGAAGCUGCGGCAGCGACACUGUGUGUUGUUGGGUAGGGGAGCGUUCUGUAAGCCUGUGAAGGUGUGUCGUGAGGCAUGCUGGAGGUAUCAGAAGUGCGAAUGCUGACAUAAGUAACGAUAAAGCGGGUGAAAAGCCCGCUCGCCGGAAGACCAAGGGUUCCUGUCCAACGUUAAUCGGGGCAGGGUGAGUCGACCCCUAAGGCGAGGCCGAAAGGCGUAGUCGAUGGGAAACGGGUUAAUAUUCCCGUACUUGGUGUUACUGCGAAGGGGGGACGGAGAAGGCUAUGUUGGCCGGGCGACGGUUGUCCCGGUUUAAG